rnacentral:lncRNA from 1 species
AGUCUGCACGGCUCGAGACGGCCGCUCAUCCCUGCUCCCCGUGUGUCCCUCGGUCCUCUCUGCAGCUCCCAGCCCUCAACUCCUUACCCCAGUUUGGGCAACCAGCUGCCCCGCUGUUUGGCCCAGGCCUGGGCCAUGACGGAUGGGUGGGCGCCCGGGGCCGCGAGAAGGGCGGAACGCUGUGCCCAGCCGGAGACUACGCUGGGUGGCGGCGGCAGCGCCGGGAGUCUGCAGUGCGCGAGGGAGAAGUGAGCGCACAGCGCCCAGCGAGCAGGUGCCUGCGGCGCGGAGAGCGCACACGCUAGCCAGCCCGCAGCGGCCGAAAGUGACCACUGUUCCUGGAGGAUUUGCAUUGCUGGAGAAGUGCAUUCUAACAGUGGAAUUCAGGCGGCGAGAGUCGGGAAAAAAAACCGAACAGAACAAAACUAGACCGGGUAUGGUAGCUCACGCCUGUUAAGUCCAGCACUUUGGGAGGCUGAGGCAGGAGGAUCACUUGAGGCCAGGAGUUUGGGACCAGCCCGGGCAACAUAGCAAGACCCCUAUCUCUACAAACAACAACAAUAGCAGCAGCAAAAUCCCACUAAAAUAAUAAAAUGCUCACUGUAAGCAGAGAGUACUUCUCUGCCCUACUGACUUGCUCCUCCUACUGAGCAGGCCACGUGACUUGCUCCAACGAAUGGAAUGUGUGCAGAUAUGUAUGUCACAUCCAGCCAGAGGCUUUCAAUAUGAUUGAACCUGGACUCUUGCCCUCUUGCCUUGCACUUGGAGAAGAAUGUGCUCCAGGAUGCUUCAGUAGAAAGUGGAAAUGCUGUCUCCCGAAUUUGCUGAACGAUGAUGUUCUGAGGAGACCUGCACUUGAGAACAAAAGUGACUACUCUUUUGUCCUAAUCUUAAAUCCCAUCACCUUGGCUGCAACUGCUGAGUGCUGGUAAUGAGUGUUGAGAGGCAAUCCGAGGAUGGUGAUUAGGUAUUAAGCCUGGGCAGGUAUUAACCGAGAGGUGUGUGGACCUUUCGCUCAGCACCACAAGAGCAGAUCUCUGCCAGCAAGCUUAUCUGGCCAUCAGCCAGGGACAGAGCUGCACUGUGGCAAAGUGAAAUGUGAUUUUAAUGAUUCUGAGCACAUGGUUUCUGCCUCCAGCAUGCUAGAUUUGUAGACUGGCAUUUUUUUUCCCUUGGGUAGAUUCCAGAUGUUGUAUAACUUGUGCCUUUCUAAGUUACAGCAUGGUAGAUGGGGACUUGUCUUUGUUAUGAGCAUGUACAAUGUGGGUCGCAGUUAAGCACUGUCAAAUAGCCUCCUAAAAGAUGAGUUUGUGUGGAAUAAAGCAC